rnacentral:sRNA from 1 species
AGUCUCAAGUGCUAGCUCUCUUCGUCAACAUGAAGUUAAUUAUCGUUCUCCUCCUAGCUUCCGUGAGUCGGGGCAUAAAGCACGAGGGUUGUUCGGUGGAUUGUCCCACAGACGGAUCGAUGGACGAAAAGAGGUGUGCCUAUGACAAAGUUUGAGGAUUUGAGGCCGAAAACCAAUGUCAGCUAAGUGCGGAGAUAUGCCUGCGGGAAUUGAACGACAGACCCCGUUUUAUCCAGGCAAUUUCCGGAUACUGUGUGGACACAAAUAAGGAACCGUGUAAACGUAUGGUAGAUAAAAUUUUUGCAUGAACAGAAUAGAUUGAUGCCGCAUCCGAAUGAAUCAUUAAUUAUUUGUUUCUUAGUAGAAGAAAUGUAUAAAUAAUAUUUACGAUAACCACUGACUGGAGA